rnacentral:lncRNA from 1 species
CGGGAACAGGCACAGGUGUGGUCCUCCUCCGAGGAGCUGGCAGCUGGCGUGAGGGUAGCAGCGUGAGCGAAGAUUCCUGGGCCGGAGAAGCCCUGGGGUCAGCUGCGGCCAAGAGCAGGCGGCCUCCGCCAAGUCCCCUCCCCUUUCUUGAAAACCGACCUGGACCGGCAUAAAUUACAGCAACGCACCCCCCGCCCCAAUAAUGUUUCUAAUAAAAGAAACAGCCUCGCAUGCCCACAGGAAAAAACUGCAGGCUCCGGUUGACGGAAAUAAACAGGUGAGCGCGGAGAGAAGCGGGAAAAGCCCGGGGAUGGGAGAACGAACGCGCCGAGAAAUCGAGGCGUCCCCGCCCGCCCGCACACCCGCUCCCCUCCCGCCGGGAGAAUCUGCGUGGCAGGCUGCAAGCUGAAAAUGCCACCCUGACAGACCCCCGCCCGCCCCGCGUCCAUUCUCCCUCCUACCCCAGCGUCCAGCGUCCCGGCCUCGUGGCAGCGCCCGGUCCCCGGGAGCCGCGCGGGGCUCCCCGCCGCCGCCGCGGGGACUCCGGUCUUCCUCUCUCCUCCCUCCCUCCUCCUCCUCGUCCUCCGCCUCCUCCUCGCAGACUCCUCCCGCCGGAUCCUUCAUGUAAACAACAGCCAGGCUCUAUUUACAGUCGCCGCCGGACGGCGAGGGACCCACGCCAGCACCCCGGCAGGAGGCGGGGGUGGGGGAAAAGCGAGUGCGCAACAUUUACACACCCGCCCCGCCCCUCCACGCCGCUGCCCCUCCGGGGGGCCGAGCGGGCCGCCGGGGGCUGCCCGCGCCUCGUGCGACCCGCGCCCCUCCGGACAGCCCGGCACGGCCCAGGGGCGAGGCCGCCCCCUCCCCGCGCGGGCGACAACGCACAGCCGACACCAGCGCCCGGCCCAGCCCCGCGCCCCAAGUCCGUGCGCAGCGCGAGCCGGGCCCGCCGCCCGCCCCGAGCCGCGCGCCGUGCGGGCCCCCGAGGCGGCGGCGGGCGGGCGCCCAGCGCCGGGCAGCCGCGCGCCCUCGGCCCCCGCGCCGCCCCGCCCGCCCUCGGCCGCCCCCCGCGCCGCCGCCGAGCCGCCGAGCCCCGCGGGCGCGUGAGCGGGUGCGUGUGCGGGGGCGCGCGCGCGGGGCCCGCCGCCCGAGCGGCUCCCGGGGUCCCCGCGGCUCCGGUGCCGCGCCGCCGUGCCCGGAGCGCCGCGGCCAGCGCUGCCCGGCGCGCGCCCGGGGACCUGGGCUCCCGCAGCCCCGCGCGCCGCCGCCGCCCCCGCGCCCCGCCACCCCCACACCCACCUGCGCCCCCGGGGGUCCCGGGCCCCCCUUCCUUUGUUCUUCCCGCUAUUUGCAUGAGGAUUAUCUAAUGACGCAGCAAGGCUCGCCACAACGUGACCGUCGCCAUUUUUCUGUUUUUAUUCUAUCUCUGCCAUGUGAUAGAUGGGGGGGAGGGGGGGAGGUUGGAAAAGGGAGAGAGACAGGAUUAAAAAAAAAAAAAAAACUUCCGGGUCUCAUGACCGGGAAGGGAGAAAAACAAAAGGGAGACGAGACACAACUCCAGGGGAAGGGUGUGUGUGCGUGUGUGCGUGUGUGCGCGCCCUCCCCGCCUCUGCUCCGGCGGCCGGCCAGGAGCAUCCUCCCACCUGGGGACCCGGAUCGCACCGCUCGCCGUGGCGGUCGCCUGUGCCGGCCCCACGCCCGCCGCCAACGCUCUGCGAAGCUGUCAGCUCGGUCCCUCCUCGUCGCCUCCACUUGCCGGUCCACCCCAGAGCUCGCGCUCGCGUUCCGGGACGGGCAGGCCGUUCUGGGUCCCGUGUUCACGGUGGCUGAAGAGACAGUGUGUUUGGGAGCUCUGCCACGUUUUUCGGUUUGUUCACUGUGGCGUCAUCCUCCCAACGUGGCAGAGGCUGAAGGUUCCACCCGUGUUCAAAGUUACACAGAAAAACAUUCUUCUGUUGUCUUGAUUUAUGCCAUUGAUCGCAGAGAAAGAGAAGCAUAAGUCUUAAGUACUUGAAAAUGAAUAAAAUAUAUUGAACUGAAAACA